rnacentral:lncRNA from 1 species
UCAACUGGUUUGUCAACAAUUUCUAGUUGAUUAGCAAGUGCUUUUACCUAAUUUACAUGAGCCAUGAGGUCAUCUCUUUCUUCCAUCUUUAUUGUCUAGAACUUCCUCCUUGUCCAAAGGAUGUUGAUAAGGUUUCUACUCUCAUAGAUGUUGCAAAGAGUCUUCCAUGCUUCUGUUGGUCCAUUGCAAGCUAUAACAUAUAAAAAGUUGGCAUCAUCAAGGUUUAUUGCAAUCAUCCCAAAAGCCUUCCUUUCAUGACGUUUAUACUUCUUCUUUACUUUGAUAUCAGCAUUGUCACUUGGAGGGUCUUCACUUUCAUCAACAAUGUUCCAAAGGUCCAAUGAAGCCAACAAAAGCUCCAUUUUUUUCUUCCAAUGGUAAAAGUUGUCACCUCUAAACUUUUCAAUCACUCUCAAGCUCUCACUUUCACUUGAAGCAAUGUCUAGGGAAAGGAUGUGUGAAAGAAUAACAAAAAAAGAGAAGAUAGAACUCUCAAAAUCAACAA